UUUAACUGCGCGUUCAGUUACUUGACGUAGACCCGAAACCGGGCGACCUACCCACGCGCAGGAUGAAGCGAAAGUAAAAUUUCGUGGAGGUCCGAACCCACGAGCGUUGAAAAGCUCGGGGAUGACUGGUGGGUAGCGGUGAAAUUCCAAUCGAGCCCGGAGAUAGCUGGUUCUCCCCGAAAUAGCUUUAGGGCUAGCCUCAAGGUGAGAGAUACGGAGGUAGAGCACUG
rnacentral:rRNA from 1 species